GAUGAACGCUGGCGGCGUGCUUAACACAUGCAAGUCGAACGGAAAGGCCCAAGCUUGCUUGGGUACUCGAGUGGCGAACGGGUGAGUAACACGUGGGUGAUCUGCCCUGCACUUCGGGAUAAGCCUGGGAAACUGGGUCUAAUACCGGAUAGGACCACAUUUUGGAUGGUGUGGUGGAAAGUUUUUCGGUGUGGGAUGAGCUCGCGGCCUAUCAGCUUGUUGGUGGGGUAAUGGCCUACCAAGGAGUCGACGGGUAGCCGGCCUGGGAGGGUGUACGGCCACAUUGGGACUGAGAUACGGCCCAGACUCCUACGGGAGGCAGCAGUGGGGAAUAUUGCACAAUGGGCGCAAGCCUGAUGCAGCGACGCCGCGUGGGGGAUGACGGCCUUCGGGUUGUAAACUCCUUUCGCUAGGGACGAAGCGUUAUGUGACGGUACCUGGAGAAGAAGCACCGGCUAACUACGUG
rnacentral:rRNA from 1 species